GUACUUGUAGUCGUUGGUGUUUGCCGGGUUCUUCCACGCUAGGGGUCGGCGCGGAGUCAGGAGCCUUUCUCAGCAAAACAAAACAAAACAAAACAAAACAAAACAAAACAGCCAAGCAAAAGAUAUUGAGAUGAGAGGCUACUGCUUUCGGACAACUUUUAUUGAGCCAACCAGUCCAUCCUAAGGGAGAUCAGUCCUGGGUCUGAUCAGUCCUUCAUUGGAAGGACUGAUGUUGAAGCUGAAACUCCAAUCCUUUGGCCACAUGAUGCGAAGAGCUGACUCAUUGGAAAAGACCCUGAUGCUGGGAAAGUUUGCGGGCAGGAGGAGAAGUGGACGACAGAGGAUGAGAUGCUGUGCAUAAAGGAUGGAAUGAAAAUAAUUCUUCUCAGCUCCUGGGAGAGUUUGUGGAUGAAAUGCUCCCUUUCUUCCAGGAAAGUGCUAGUUUUUCUGUUGCUAAAGAUUAAACUUUGAGUUUAACGAGCUAUUGAAAAAAGCUAUUGUGAAGGAACAGGGAAGAGAGAUGGAGCUUGAGGAUUCCUCGCCUUGAGGCAGUGUUUGGAGUGGGGUGGGGCAGGAAGUGGAGUGCGGAGAGUCCUUCGAAAGGAGGCAGAGAAAAGUUUUGGCCCUGGGACAGCCAGCGCUGGGUUUCCCCUUGUGGGAAGUGGGAAAGAAAAGGCUCUGACUCCUUCCGCAGAAGUCAGUCCCAAGUCCCAGGUGUGGCAGGGAAGCGAUCAAGAACAGAAGACCUGAGGAACUACUUAAGCAGGUUACCUGCUCAGACACUCCCUAUCUCUGGAGGUCCCUUGGGCCAUGCUUGUUGUAUCACGUGAAACCUCAAAACUGGAAGCAUCCUGGCAGAGGAGUAUGAGUGAACGUGAACUAGAAGUGAUUUAUCAUGAUUAAGGAAAUGUGCUAUUUCAUAUGCCCUGCCAUGCCAAGUUUUUUUCAGUCCUAUCUGACUUCAUUUGAUCCUAUGGACUGUAACCUGCCAGGCUCCUCUGUCCAUGGGAUUCUCCAGGCAAGAAUACUGGAGUGAAUUGCCCUUCUCCAGGGGAUCUUCCCAACCCAGGGAUCAAACCUGCAUCUUUUAAGUCUCUUGCAUUGACAGGAUGGUUCUUUUUACCACUAGUGCCGCAUGGGAAGCUUACUACUUAAUGUACAGUCCCACAUUUGACUAUGAGAUUCAUACCUGCCAUACUGAGGAACAGGCCAGGCAAGCAUUUAUCGUAAGAACUAGAGUCCAGCUUCCCACAGGAUGCAUAGUUUAGGGAGUGAUGAAUUCCUUAAGGAAGGAGAUUAGAGAAGGCUUCCUAAAGGAGAUGACACUGGAAAUGUGUCCUGAGGAAUGGGCAAAUAGUCAAUGGUUGGGGAUUAGGGCAAGUGGAGAGAACAGGCCAGGUGUGUGGACUUGAUGUAAGCAAAGGCCUACAAAGGUGGGACAAAGCGGGGCAAGUCUGGGAGACUGGAAGUAGUUCAAUGUGACAGUGCUUCAUGGAUUUUGGAGGUGAUGUGGUUGGACAGGGACCUGAGCCCUUAUGCCAAGGUCCUUGCCUGUCACAUUUUAACUUUGUCCUGCAGAUCGUGGGAAGCCAGUAGGAAAGUGGCAUACCUACUUUUGGAAAACCCCUGCAGACCUGACCAUCGCUGACUUUGCCUCAGGUCAAAGGGUCUGAAAUGAAGUGCUUUUGCCUAGGACCAUAUUUGAGAUAAGCAUUAAUCAAUUCAUUUUUUUCACAUAAUUGGUUUAGCUUUCCUCAGACACUGUCUUCUCUUUGUUCUACCUCUUCUGUGUUACAUGUAUGGUCACAAAAGCGAUACUGAUUUUGGAAGAGAAACAGAAAGGGCUUUCCAGAG
ensembl:lncRNA